rnacentral:sRNA from 1 species
GCCAAGCACGGUGGUCCAUGCCUGUAAUCCCAGUGGCUCAGGAGGCUGAGGCAGGAGGAUGGGGAGUUCAAAGCCAGCCUCAGCAAAGGCAUGAAGCAACUCAGUCAGAUCCUGUCUCUA